GACGAACGCUGGCGGCGUGCUUAACACAUGCAAGUCGAACGGAAAGGCCCUGCUUUUGUGGGGUGCUCGAGUGGCGAACGGGUGAGUAACACGUGAGUCACCUGCCCUUGACUUUGGGAUAACUUCAGGAAACUGGGGCUAAUACCGGAUAUGCGCUCCUGCUGCAUGGUGGGGGUUGGAAAGUUUCGGCGGUUGGGGAUGGACUCGCGGCUUAUCAGCUUGUUGGUGGGGUAGUGGCUUACCAAGGCUUUGACGGGUAGCCGGCCUGAGAGGGUGACCGGCCACAUUGGGACUGAGAUACGGCCCAGACUAGUACGGGAGGCAGCAGUGGGGAAUAUUGCACAAUGGGCGGAAGCCUGAUGCAGCAACGCCGCGUGCGGGAUGACGGCCUUCGGGGUGUAAACCGCUGUCGCCUGUGACGAAGCGUGAGGGACGGUAAUGGGUAAAGAAGCACCGGCUAACUACGU
rnacentral:rRNA from 1 species